AGACGAGCAGGGCCUCAGUCUCUUGGACGACCUCAGCUCUGGGUCGCACAAGUGCAAGGAACCUCGGACGAGCAGGGCCGAGCGAGCACAGGCUCAAGCGCAAAGACCGUCGGGUCGGACGAGCACAGGCACAGAACCGAGCCUUCACGUAAAUAAAUCCUCCAUAUGAGAGAUUUAAAAAAGGAGGGAACAGAGAUUCGAACCACCUACCUCAAGCACCUCAAGCGGGCACACCAACCAUCCACACCACACUCCCUUCUUAACAUAUAUACAUAAUAUAUAUGUUUUAAGUAUGAAAACUUUUAAUUAUUAUUUAAUAAAAAUCU
rnacentral:lncRNA from 1 species